UUACUAUUGGAUGAUGACUAUCACAUGUCAUAUUAUUAGAUGUAAAUUCCAUGAAAGAUGAAAUACAUUGUUGUGUUCAUUGAUCAAUCAGAAUAUGACACGUAAUAGUCAUCAUCC
rfam:Glycine max cultivar Williams 82 chromosome 16, whole genome shotgun sequence.